rnacentral:lncRNA from 1 species
CUGAUGCUCGUCUGUAUGUGCUGCGGGCACACAUCCCUUCUCACAGCUGGCCGCAGUGUUCUCUCUUGGGAGUUGUCUUCAUCCCAAGAUGGCUUCUGGACUGCUAUCUUAAUGCAUGGAGGUUCCAGAACAGUGUUCACAAGGCACCAUCUGCCCACUCUGCCAAGGGUUUACUGAUGUCUCACCCUGGGGAAUCUUCAGACAGUGGUUACCUUUGGGAGACCCACUUGUAACUAACCAGUAUGUGACUGCCCACAUUCAGACCAGGGACCAUCUUAAUAGCACUCACUGCCACUCCUCACAAGAUAAGUUGACACGGGGUGCUCUCUUCAGACCCUCCCUCCUAUACUGGAAGUGGGAAAUGUCUCGGUCACCCGGCUGGUUCCAGAGUAUAGCUUCUUGGUGUCCACCAGAUAGGCCAUCUGGGUGUUGGGUGACUGUUUCUCCCACUUCUGGCCCAAUGCCUUUGUGGGUGCUCCUAGAGGUCUUUCCUUACCCUGCCCAGGGUUGUUGAUGGGUGAGAGAAAUGAACUUAUUGUAGGUGUGUUUAGCUCUUGAGGUGUGAGAGUCUUGAGCAGGUGCGUGAGUAACCACGGCCUUAAGCACCCUUAGGGUUCACUGCUCAGUGAAAUCCCCUCUUGUCAUCUUGAAGCCUGUUAGGAUUAUUGUGUGGAUCUGUGCUGAUUACAGACCUGAGACUGUUUGGGACAAGCGGGUACUGAGUCUGCUGAGGUUUUGACCAUACAAGGGGUCUAACUU